UACGGAGGAUGCAAGUGUUAUCCGGAUUCAUUGGGUUUAAAGGGUGCGCAGGCGGGGAUGUAAGUCAGUGGUGAAAAGCUGCCGCUUAACGGUGGUCUUGCCAUUGAUACUGCAUUUCUUGAGUAUGGUUAAGGUAGGCGGAAUGUGCAGUGUAGCGGUGAAAUGCAUAGAGAUUGCACAGAACUCCGAUUGCGAAGGCAGCUUACUGAGCCAUAACUGACGCUGAGGCACGAAAGCGUGGGUAG
rnacentral:rRNA from 1 species